rnacentral:misc_RNA from 1 species
GAGAAAACAAGAUAAGAUUGGCCCAAGAAGCAAAAGAAAGGAGGCGGCACAGGGCCCAGAGGACAGCUCGACCAGAAUCAGACAAAAAGGGUAUUCCUGUUCAAGAACCAGAACAACAGGAGGAGGAACAUGAUAUAGCAGCAGUACAGGAGGAACAUGAUAUACCUGGCAUGCUCCCAAGCAACAUUGUCAAUCUUCUUGCAGCUCAGGAAAAGAAAACAUUCUCUUCGGAUUCUGAGGAAGAGGUUAUAGACCGGAAACCAACCUCAAAAAAGAAAAAGCAGAAAAUCACCGGGCCUGAAACUGUGCUUCUCAAGGACAUCCCCCAUGCACAAUGCUUGCAGAACUCGAUGGAAUUUCUCAAGAGGAGAAAGAUGCAGGUCCCGAGAUCUAAUUCAUC